CCCUGCUCAGAAAUGUGGUCCAGUAGGUGAGGCAAGACCAGCACUAGAUAAAGCUUCUGGCUUCAUGGGUCUCCUUGGGCAUUUUCUAUUGCUACCACCUCCAUCACUGAUGUUUUCACAGUGACUGCUCUUGGCAACUCCAGGGUCGCAGGAGAACCCGUGUUCUGCAGGGAAAGUCCUGCGGAUGGCCUCUCAGCCCAGGUGAGGGCUUCCAGGCCAAGGGAAGGGCAGUCAGCCUCUGUGUACCCUGCUCAGAGCAAACUCUCCGUGGAAGAGCUCAGCCUGCACCCCGGGCAUCAAGACGUCAUACCAUGGCAUCACGCUGUCGCUAUGUUAACAUCUGGAAUGUCUCUCAAAGGCUCGGGUGUCCAGGGCUUGGUCCCCAGUGCACCACGUGCAGAGAGCUCAGCGUCUGAAAAAGUUUCCCAUCUGAAGCUGCAAUCUCUGAGUCUCCUCUUGCCCUUCAUCAGGAAGCCUGCAGAUGGAAGAGCAGUGAUCUCCCGGGCAGCGUGGACCCCUGGCAUGCAUAGCUCCGGAAGCCGGGACAGCCAGGGCCUGCUGUCUUCUGGGUCUCUUGCGUUUCUUCUUCUUGGUGCUGAUUCUGCCCAGAGGCAGAGGGAUGCAAGCUUCCUCCACACCCAGGCUUCUGUGCUACACAUUUGGAGGCUAAGAUUGGUCAUAGCAGAGCUGUAAAUUUUACUCCUUCCAGCACUUUCUUCAACCAGUCCCUCGGCCUGGUUUCUUUGCAGUUCCUGUUAGCAUCUCUUUCCCACUCAACAGUAAAUUCUUUGGAAAGGAAGCAUGGUGGUGCUUGUUGAUCUCUGUCAGCUGCUGCCUGUCAACAAGGAUGAGACUAAGGAUAAACUCGCUUUGUGAGUUUCUAGAUAGGUGGCCUUUGCAUUUCCAACUAAGUGUUCAUUUUAUGCAGUACUCCUCAUGUAAUUGCUGUUUGAGCAAAACAAUUACUUGCAAUAAGCUUCUUUUUUAUUCUAUCUCAGGAAAAAGGAACUCAGCCAUGGCAAAAAGUCUACUGAUAGAUUCCUGCUUCUGUCUCCUUGGGAAACUAGAUACUUGACAAAAAGUAAACUCUUUCUGUAAUUCAUGGACUCAUUCCACCAGUAUUUCUUGAGUGCUUGCUAUGUGCCAGGCCUUGGUAAGCGCUUAGUGUCCAAAGAGAAAAGGCAUCUGAGAAGCUUGUAGGCUAAUGAGAAGCCAUGUCACUGCAUGUGACGGCAGGCAGGGCGUGUGCCUGGGGCAUGGGGGAGACCCGCCUCCGCCCUGCAGGAUGCCAUCAGGGCUGCUCCCCAGUGAACCUCCUGCGUGUCAAGGCUGAGCAGCAGCAGAUAUGAGCUGCCAGGAAGAGUUUGGAUCUUCUGAUAACUUUUGGCCCAGGACCUGGAGGAAAUCUCAUCAUCUGGUAGAGGAACCGCCUUUGGGGUCAGGCUCUGGGAGUCCUGACUGUCCCCUUCAUUGGCGAUGAGCUUUGUUCCUGGUUUCCCCAUUGUAGACGCCUAGGCUCUGUGGAGCAGUGCAGAAGAGCCUGGCUCUGAAGGCCCUCAGGUCAGGUGCAUGGAGCCAGCCCUCAAUGCCACCUCCUGCCGCCUUUCUGAUCUUGGGCACACCCUAUGCCUUGCCUCAUCAUGGGGGAGACAGAAUUCAUAAUGGAGCUUCACGGGACUGUUCUGAGCCAUAAGUGAAUUAUCCUAGGCAGUGUUCUUAGAUCAGGAUCUGCCUUGCAGGACAGUCUCCCUAAGGGCCCUUGUAAGUGUGAAGCACAACACCGUGGCGGUAGUGGAAGAACACUUCCUUGUUAUAAAGUGUGACUCCUGAUGGUCGCUCGUCUUCUGCCUCCCUUACACUCUAAGAACAAGUAGUUGUCUCUCUGAAUUGUGGAGAAGAUGAAAGGACCUCAGUUCAUACCUUUAUCCCCCUACCCGCCUGGACAUCCCCAAUGUGCAAAGCCCCAGGGCCCCAUGCUGAGAGGAUCGCCAUCAACACACAUCUGUUGGACACUCCCAGAAUCUGAUGGGGCUCUGCUCCCUCUCCACCCCCUCCACUGCCGUUCCCUUUAUCUUUUGCUCCAAUCUCAAAGGUUUUAAAUAGCCUCUUCCAUGAAAGCCUCACUCUCUCCUUUCCAAAUAACUUGGGUUGGGCUGCAGGGUCAUCUGCGUGGUGAGACCAUUUGCUUCCGUCCCGGGAGGACACUGUGGGCUGCUUGGCUCCCCCUACGGACUCCAGCAGGGUGGGACUGUGGGUUGUGUGCAUGGGAGCUCUGGGUGGCAGCUGCUCCACUCCGUGCCCUGCCAAGGGAGCCUGUGUGGGUGGGACGAGGGCAUGGAAUAGCUGGAAUCCAGGGGGCAUGUGUCCUCCGGCUGCUGCUCUGCUCAUGCCCCGGCCAGCCACCCUGUCCGCUGUGUGGGAGGCAGAGGGGCGGGUGCCGAGGGAGCUCAUCACAGACCCUGCAGGAGUAGCACUCAAGAACAGCAGGACAGCGAAGCCACGACCCGCUGUUGAGGCCACUUCAGUGCCCACCCCUCAGACACACAGUUUACCACCUGGGCCGCCGAGGUGGUAAAUGGCCUCUCUGCAGCAGACGGCAGGUAGACGUGGGGGAGGGGGUCUGCUCUCACAGUCCACGGGUCUUAAAAUAAGUGGCUUCUUUCCCAGUGAAUGCCAGACGCUCCCCCAGACAGCGUCAGGCUUCACGCGCCCCGUUCCUGGCACUUCCUCUCUGUGGCACCAAAACAGGUCAGAGAAUCCUACAGGAGCUGGUACCGGGAGCGCCCACGGCCCACACCGCCAAUGCCAGGCUUGCCGGUCCCUCUGGGAUCUGCCUCAACACGCCAUCCCCAGAGCGUUUCUGUAGACACUGUUACCUGACUCUGAUUAGGUUUCUAAGUUUUUCUCAGCCUCUCACACAGAAAAACACAGUUUUUGAAUCCACUAGGAGCAGAGAGACUUUAGUCACUGCCAGCUCCAGACAAGGUGGGUUUAGAUUCCAGGCAACCGACAUGACUGCUUCUGCCUCCUUCAUGAAAACCAACUCUUCCCUCCGUCACAGAGCAGCUGCAUACACGCCCCAAGUCUCCCAGAGCUGAUUUGCAGAACUGUGGCCUUUCUGUCCUGGAAGGCCCUUGGAAUCAUCUAGUUAGAAUUUCUCUUAACUUUUUCUGAGCUUAGAUUGACUGUCUUUGCCCCAGUUCUUGGUUCAGCACCCAGAACUAACCCCUGGCUGGCGUAGUUCUGGUCCACCAUGCUGCUGGCUGGUUCUGCAGCGUGGUGGCUCCCUGUGGUGUGCAGCUCCCGGCAGGGAACUGUGAGGAGCUGAGCCCUGAGGACAGGCUCCCAGCCCAGCUCCACCUCCUUGGAAGCACAAGCUCCACUGUCAUUUGAUUCUCUGCAGAUGUUGGCUGGAGUUGGCUGCGGAGCCAAUGCUCUGAACCUGAGGAGCCCAGGGACCAUCUGGGAGAAGUGCGGCUCCACCCAGUUCUGGGCUUCCCCGUGGCGGGUGGGGGGCUGCCGUGAGCAACAUCACGAUGCUCCCCUCCCCAUCCCUAAUCUCGCCUCUCCCCAAUCUCUGGGAAACAGGGCCGCCUUUCUCCCCCUCCUAGGGAAAGUUACCUGUUCCUGAUCACACCCACCACAGCAGCGAAGUAACUCAGACUUGGGGAUGGCUCCCGAAAACCUAAGAAAUGACCGUCUCCCAAAUUAACAAGUGCAUUAUGUCGCGGACAGAGAACGUCAGAAUGUAGCCUUUGAGUCACCUCUUUAAAAGCUCCCUGUUUCCCCUGACGGGCAGAAUCACAGCCCUGGGACAGGGGUGCCUGUGUUUCUCCUUUGCUAGCAAAACAAUAAAAUUUCUUUUUCCUUUUUCUCA